AGCGAACGCUGGCGGUAGGCUUAACACAUGCAAGUCGAACGGCAGCACAGUAUCAGCUUGCCCUUACGGGUGGCGAGUGGCGGACGGGUGAGGAAAACAUCGGAAUACAUUUUUUUGUGGGGGAUAACGUAGGGAAACUAACGCUAAUACCGCAUACCACCUACGGGUGAAAGCAGAGGCUCCUCCGACCUUGCGUGAUCGAAUGAGCCGGUGUCGGAUUAGCUAGUUAGCGGGGUAAAGGCCCACCAAGGCGACGACCCUUAGCUGGUCUGAGAGGAUGAACAGGGACACUGGAGCUGAGACACGAUCCUGGCUCCUACGUGAGGCAGCGAUGCGGAAGAGUGGAAGAUGGGGGCAAGCUUGAUCCAGCCGUACCACGUUGGUGAAGAAGGCCUUCGGGUUGGAAAGCCGCUUUGUGGUGGAAGAAAAGCAGCAGGAUGAUACCCCCCUGUUCUGACGGUACCCGAAGAAUAAGCACCGGCUAACUUCGUG
rnacentral:rRNA from 1 species